rnacentral:misc_RNA from 1 species
GAUGAAGAACGUAGCGAAAUGCGAUAAGUAAUGCGAAUUGCAGAAUUUCCGUGAGUCAUCGAAUCUUUGAACGCACAUUGCGCCCACUGGUAUUCCGGUGGGCAUGCCUGUUCGAGCGUCAUUAUCCUCCCUCAAACCCCGGGUUUGGUGUUGGACCCAAGUUGUGUGAACAACUGGUCUCAAAGACAAUGACGGCGUCCGUGGGACCCUCGGUGCAACGAGCUUUUAGGAGCACACAUCGAGUUGCAAGGACCUUCCGGGCCGGUCUCCUUUACCAUUUUACAAGGUUGACCUCGGAUCAGGUAGGAAUACCCGCUGAACUUAAGCAUAUCAAUAAGCGGAGGA